AUAAGGGAAUUUGUUUGGACCUUGCAUUGCUCAAACUGGACCGAGCAACAAACGGUCCACACCAUACACAACCGGGAUUUAAGAGCUACCUUUCAGUUGUGAGUUGAAACGCGACGACGGCAAAGUGAAACACGCUUUUCAAAUAAGAUGGAGCGGUGUGAUUCUUCAUCCUCACGUUCUUCCUCAUCGCAUCUUCAGCUUGCUACACUUCAUCUUCACGCCUUGAUUUCCAAUCAAGAUUGCAAUUUGACACGCAUAAAAGAGCGACACAACAAUUGACUAUGAUAUCGUUUCCAUCACCGAAAUCGAAUUGCACAGUUAUCAUCCACACUCCAUUCAAGGGAAAAACAGUUAGAAUUUGCUAGAAGAAAGUUGUUAAUCGAGUUAGUUAGGAAUUCCAAAAUCUGUUAGUGUGCAAGUCAAUGAAUUUAUGGUUGGGUCUAUCAUGAGUUUGUUAGAGGAAAUGAAAAAAUUGUUAGUUAGUUCGUUGAGCUUCUGUAAUUAGACUUCUGAUUUAGUUAAAAAAACUUUGUUAAACUGAAGUUAUGCUAUGAGAUUUUGUUAAUGCUAAAAAACUGUUACCAUCUGUUAUUAUAUAUUCUCUUGGAUGACAGUUAGACGAAAUCAAGUGUUAGUUUGGAUUGUGAUAUUGUUUGCUACUCGAUUCUGAAAUGCUCUGCUGAAAUGGUGUGAAAAAUUAUUGUUGCUGGGAAAUGACGUAUUGCAGUUGCCUUCAAUUGUUAAUUAGAUGAGUUUUCAAUAGUCAUUGUUAUAUUAGUUCAGGCUCAAACAAAGAAAGUUAUGCUUCCUUAGACUCCUGUUGUUAAUACUGAUACUCUGUUAUCUUCAUUUUCUAUCACAGAUGUUACCAUGGGAUUGCACCCUGAUGUGAAAAUACAGGGCGUUAGCUGGACUUGUGAAGAUCAUGCUUGUGUUGAAUCAGCCUGCAGCAAUGGAAAUGUCAUUAGUUCCUUUAGAUAUUUUACACUUGUUAAUUUGUUCAUUGGCUUGUAGGCUGGCAUUUGAUUGUGGUCUGCCAAAAGGUAAUUGCAGGAUGCCUUUUGUGGAUCUGAGUUUUCACGGUGUAAUUUUUGGAUGGAAGGUUGUUUGGAGCUGGCUUCAUGUUUUACCUGUCAUGACGUGUGUACCUUAGCUUCUCAUUUUAUGACAUGUUUCCUUCGUGUUAUGCUCAAUGUGACUUGGUUACUUGGAAUGUGGUUUGUUGAUCGUCUAUUACAAUGUGUUGGUUUUGCAGGUUCAUGCUGUCAUUGUUUGCAUGCUGCAUAUAGCACUGCUGAGCUUGGUUAUGAAUGCAGAAUUGAUGCUCAAAUGCUGAUGCAAGGUGGUGCGAUGUCGCGACUGACUUAGCUAGAUUUAGGAUUAUUUGUAUUAUGCUUUAUGUGUUGUAAUGGAAACAAUGGAUGAGUAUUUGUUGUAUUGUGAUUGGAUUUAUAUGUAUGAAAAUACUCCCUCCGGUCUCAUAUGUAAGCAAAAAAAAAAAAAAUUUGGAGUCUCAAAUAUAAGCAAAAAUUAAUUAUAAUGGUUACAAUUAAA